ACAGUUUGAAACUUACCUAAUUAAAAUAGACAGCAUCUGGAGAACUGUGAGCAAGGAGUCUUGUGAUUUGAUUUAUGUGUUAAAACAUCAAUCGGCAGGGAUGCAAAGUAUCCAAGAAAAAAAGUAGCACAGCUCAUGUUAACAAGAAUGUCCCUUUAAGAAUCUCUAUGUAUUGUGGAAAUUCAGACAGGUUUCAAUGCAGCUCUGAAGUGAUCAAUGGAUUCAUCUCUUGUUGGAGUUAAAGCCCCUACAAUCUGAUCAGUUUCCAGAAGUUCCACCUAUGAAUGUUGCUGCAUUGGGACCAAACUUUCCAGACACUAUCUCCCCGGAGAUAUCCUGACCAGUGCAAAAUGAAAGAUCAUUUUGCUUUGUGAUCCAGAGAACAGCAUCUGCAAAGAGGCUUCAAGGUCACCCUGAAUUGCUUUUUCAACAUCAAGCAAGUCAGCAACUGCCUCCUCACCAGUGAGGAGGGAUAAUGCCUUUGAUGGCCAUGUAAGAGGGUUACUGAAAAAUUAUAAAACAAAAACAAAGACCUUAUUCAUAGUUUAUAGUAUAAAAAAUAAUGCUAAAGGGCCAGGGAUAUAGCUCAGUGGAACAGCGCCUGCCUGGCAAGUACAAGGUCUUAAGUUCAAUUUCCAGUGUCUAAAUAAAUAAAUAAAAUAAAAUAAAAUAAUGCUAAA